rnacentral:rRNA from 1 species
UACGUAGGGUGCAAGCGUUGUUCGGAAUUAUUGGGCGUAAAGAGCUCGUAGGCGGUUUGUCGCGUCUGCUGUGAAAACUCGGGGCUUAACUCCGGGCCUGCAGUGGGUACGGGCAGACUAGAGUGCGGUAGGGGAGACUGGAAUUCCUGGUGUAGCGGUGAAAUGCGCAGAUAUCAGGAGGAACACCGGUGGCGAAGGCGGGUCUCUGGGCCGUAACUGACGCUGAGGAGCGAAAGCGUGGGGAGCGAACAGG